rnacentral:rRNA from 1 species
AGUUGGGCACUCUAAGGUGACUGCCGGUGACAAACCGGAGGAAGGUGGGGAUGACGUCAAAUCAUCAUGCCCCUUAUGACCUGGGCUACACACGUGCUACAAUGGACAGAACAAAGGGCUGCGAGACCGCAAGGUUUAGCCAAUCCCACAAAUCUGUUCUCAGUUCGGAUCGCAGUCUGCAACUCGACUGCGUGAAGCUGGAAUCGCUAGUAAUCGCGGAUCAGCAUGCCGCGGUGAAUACGUUCCCGGGCCUUGUACACACCGCCCGUCACACCACGAGAGUUUGCAACACCCGAAGUCGGUGAGG